rnacentral:rRNA from 1 species
UACGAAGGGGGCUAGCGUUGCUCGGAAUCACUGGGCGUAAAGGGUGCGUAGGCGGGUUUUUAAGUCAGAGGUGAAAUCCUGGAGCUCAACUCCAGAACUGCCUUUGAUACUGAAAGUCUUGAGUAUGGGAGAGGUGAGUGGAAUUCCGAGUGUAGAGGUGAAAUUCGUAGAUAUUCGGAGGAACACCAGUGGCGAAGGCGGCUCACUGGUCCAUUACUGACGCUGAGGUGCGAAAGCGUGGGGAGCAAACAGG